GACGAACGCUGGCGGCGUGCUUAACACAUGCAAGUCGAACGGUGAAGCGCCUUCCUUUUUGGUGGGUGUGGAUGAGUGGCGAACGGGUGAGUAACACGUGAGUAACCUGCCCCCUUCUUCUGGAUAACCGCAUGAAAGUGUGGCUAAUACGGGAUAUUCUGGGUCUGUCGCAUGAUGGGUCUGGGAAAGAUAUUGUUUCGGUGGGGGAUGGGCUCGCGGCCUAUCAGCUUGUUGGUGGGGUGAUGGCCUACCAAGGCGGUGACGGGUAGCCGGCCUGAGAGGGUGGACGGUCACACUGGGACUGAGACGCGGCCCAGACUCCUACGGGAGGCAGCAGUGGGGAAUAUUGCACAAUGGGCGGAAGCCUGAUGCAGCGACGCCGCGUGAGGGAUGGAGGCCUUCGGGUUGUGAACCUCUUUCGCCAGUGAAGCAGGCCUGCCUCGUUUGUGGGUGGGUUGACGGUAGCUGGAGAAGAAGCGCCGGCUAACUACGUG
rnacentral:rRNA from 1 species